rnacentral:snRNA from 1 species
GUGCUCGCUUCUGCAGCACAUAUACUAAAAUUGGAGCGAUACAGAGAAGGUUAGCAUGGCCCCUGUGCAAGUAAAAAAACUAAAAACUAAAAAUAAAUAAAU